rnacentral:rRNA from 1 species
AAACUUAAAUGAAUUGACGGGGCCCGCACAAGCGGUGGAUUAUGUGGUUAAUUCGACGCAACGCGAAGAACCUUACCAAGGCUUGACAUCCACAGAACCCUACGGAAACGUGGGGGUGCCCUUCGGGGAGCUGUGAGACAGGUGGUGCAUGGUUGUCGUCAGCUCGUGUCGUGAGAUGUUGGGUUAAGUCCCGCAACGAGCGCAACCCCUACGUUUAGUUGCUAACGCGUGAAGGCGAGCACUCUAGACGAACUGCCGUUGACAAAACGGAGGAAGGUGGGGAUGACGUCAAAUCAUCAUGCCCCUUAUGUUCUGGGCUACACACGUGCUACAAUGGCCGGUACAGACGGAGGCGAAGCCGCGAGGCGGAGCAAAUCCGAAAAAGCCGGUCUCAGUUCGGAUUGCAGGCUGCAAUUCGCCUGCAUGAAGUCGGAAUCGCUAGUAAUCGCAGGUCAGCAUACUGCGGUGAAUACGUUCCCGGGCCUU